GACGACCCGUGCGACCGUUGUUCGGAAUCACUGGGCUUAAAGGGCGCGUAGGCGGGCGAUCAAGUCCGGGGUGAAAGCUUUCGGCUCAACCGGAAAAGGGCCUCGGAUACUGGUCGCCUUGAGGGAGGUAGGGGCAAGCGGAACUUCCGGUGGAGCGGUGAAAUGCGUUGAUAUCGGAAGGAACGCCGGUGGCGAAAGCGGCUUGCUGGACCUCUGCUGACGCUGAGGCGCGAAAGCCAGGGGAGCGAACGGG
rnacentral:rRNA from 1 species